UACGAGGGGGGCGAGCGUUGUUCGGAAUUACUGGGCGUAAAGGGUGCGUAGGCGGUUCGUUAAGUCUGUCGUGAAAUCCCCGGGCUCAACCUGGGAAUGGCGAUGGAUACUGGCGAGCUAGAGUGUGUCAGAGGAUGGUGGAAUUCCCGGUGUAGCGGUGAAAUGCGUAGAGAUCGGGAGGAACAUCAGUGGCGAAGGCGGCCAUCUGGGACAACACUGACGCUGAAGCACGAAAGCGUGGGGAGCAAACAGG
rnacentral:rRNA from 1 species